AUUUUUUUUUUUUGUCUUGUUUUUUUUGCGACCAAGUUUUUUCAAUUCGAUUUUUGAAUUGUGAAAAAUUAAUUUUUUUUAUUCCACAUUCGGAUUCGAAAGUGGAAAAAACAAAUCAGUGUUUGUUUUUUUUUUGUUUGGUUUGGAAAUUAAUUCUUAUUGAAGAGCAAA
rnacentral:ribozyme from 1 species